GACGAACGCUGGCGGCGUGCUUAACACAUGCAAGUCGAGCGGAAAGGCCACUUCGGUGGUACUCGAGCGGCGAACGGGUGAGUAACACGUGAGUAAUCUGCCCUUGGCUUUGGGAUAGCCACCGGAAACGGUGAUUAAUACCGGAUACGACCACUUCUCGCAUGGGAUGGUGGUGGAAAGUUUUUCGGCCAGGGAUGUGCUCGCGGCCUAUCAGCUUGAUGGUGGGGUAAUGGCUCACCAUGGCUUCGACGGGUAGCCGGCCUGAGAGGGUGACCGGUCACACUGGGACUGAGACACGGCCCAGACUCCUACGGGAGGCAGCAGUGGGGAAUAUUGGACAAUGGGCGGAAGCCUGAUCCAGCAACGCCGCGUGAGGGAUGACGGCCUUCGGGUUGUAAACCUCUUUCGGUGGGGACGAAGCGCAAGUGACGGUACCCACUAAAGAAGCACCGGCCAACUACGUGCCAGCCGCCGCCGUAA
rnacentral:rRNA from 1 species